UCCCUGGAGGACUAGUGGUUAGGCCUCGGCGCUCUCACCACCGCAGCCCAGGUUCAGUUCCUGGCCAGGGAA
rnacentral:tRNA from 1 species